rnacentral:rRNA from 1 species
GACGAACGCUGGCGGCGUGCUUAACACAUGCAAGUCGAACGGAAAGGCCCUGCUUUUGUGGGGUGCGCGAGUGGCGAACGGGUGAGUAACACGUGAGUAACCUGCCCUUGACCUUGGGAUAACUUCAGGAAACUGGGGCUAAUACCGGAUAGGAGCUCCUGCCGCUGGGUGGGGGUUGGAAAGUUUAGGCGGUUGGGGAUGGACUCGCGGCCUAUCAGCUUGUUGGUUGGGUAGUGGCUUACCAAGGCUUUGACGGGUAGCCGGCCUGAUAGGGUGACCUGCCCCAUUGGGACUGAGAUACGGCCCAGCCUCCUACGGGAGGCAGCAGUGGGGAAGAUUGCACAAUAGGCUGAAGCCUGAUGCAGCACCGCCGCGUGCGGUAUGACAGCCUUCGGGUUGUAAACCGCUUUCGCCUGUGACGAAGCGUGAGUGACGGUAAUGGGUAAAGAAGCACCGGCUAACUACGUG